UAACGCGUGAGGAACCUGCCUUUCAGAGGGGGACAACAGUUGGAAACGACUGCUAAUACCGCAUGACACAUAGAGAUCGCAUGGUUUUUAUGUCAAAGAUUUAUCGCUGAAAGAUGGCCUCGCGUCUGAUUAGCUAGUUGGUGAGGUAACGGCCCACCAAGGCGACGAUCAGUAGCCGGACUGAGAGGUUGACCGGCCACAUUGGGACUGAGACACGGCCCAA
rnacentral:rRNA from 1 species